AGUACGACCGCAAGGUUAAAACUCAAAUGAAUUGACGGGGACCCGCACAAGUAGUGGAGCAUGUGGUUUAAUUCGAAGAUACGCGCAGAACCUUACCAACACUUGACAUGUUCGUCGCGACUCUAAGAGAUUAGAGUUUUCGGUUCGGCCGGACGAAACACAGGUGCUGCAUGGCUGUCGUCAGCUCGUGUCGUGAGAUGUUGGGUUAAGUCCCGCAACGAGCGCAACCCUCACUUUUAGUUGCCAUCAUUAAGUUGGGCACUCUGAAAGAACUGCCAGUGAUAAGCUGGAGGAAGGUGGGGAUGACGUCAAGUCAGCAUGCCCCUUACAUCCUGGGCUACACACGUACUACAAUGGUCGAGACAAAGGGUCGCUAACCUGCGAAGGUAUGCCAAUCUCAUAAACUCGAUCUCAGUUCGGAUUGUACUCUGCAACUCGAGUACAUGAAGGUGGAAUCGCUAGUAAUCGCUGGUCAGCAUACAGCGGUGAAUACGUUCCCGGGUCUUGUACACACUGCCCGUCACACCAUGGAAGUCGACCCUUCCCUAAGUCGUUACUCGAACCUGUAAAGGACGAGGACGCCGAAGGCAGAGUUGGUGACUAGGGUGAAGUCGUAACAAGGUAACC
rnacentral:rRNA from 1 species